CACCAAAUACAAUUAAAUACUGUACUCCUCGUAAUGCUGAAAUUGGCAUUCUGCCGACUCUUUAACUAAAAUUUUUAAUUCCUCAGUGGACUCUACAAAUUACACUAUAUUAUGCACUAGGCAUGAAUAGCCUGGGAAUUGAACUACAGUUUCAAAGUUUUAAAAAGACCCUAAAGGCUAAAUCCCAGUCCCAGAUGUAGUAUUUGGUAGUUCAUCUGUUUAUGGCCCACAUUUAAGGCAUGCAGUCUCAGCUUUAUAAAAACUUGAUCAGUGGCGGCGCCAGGCCUCCGAAUUUGGGGGGGGGGGCAUUUGA